AAUUUUGUAUAUCCCCCUUGUUCUUAUAGAUUGGCACUAACGUGCUUCUCCUCCAUUCCUCCGGCAUGCGUUUUGACCUCAUAAUUUCAUUAAAGCGUUUGGUGAGCCACUCAAGACCUCUAUCUCCAAGAGUUUUCCACACUUCAAUAGGUAUGUUGUCUGGCCCCACCGCCUUACCGUUACUCAUUCUUUUCAACGCUUCCUUUACUUCC
rnacentral:lncRNA from 1 species